GACGAACGCUGGCGGCGUGCCUAACACAUGCAAGUCGAACGGAAAGGCCCUGCUUUUGUGGGCUGCUCGAGUGGCGAACGGGGGAGUAACACGUGAGUAACCUGCCCUUGACUUUGGGAUAACUUCAGGAAACGGGGGCUAAUACCGGAUAGGAGCUCCCGCUGCAUGGUGGGGGUUGGAAAGUUUCGGCGGUUGGGGAUGGACUCGCGGCUUAUCAGCUUGUUGGUGGGGUAGUGGAUUACAAAGGUCUGCCGGGUAGCCGGCCUGGGAGGGUGGCCGGGCACAUUAGGACUGAGAUACGGCCCAGACUCCUACGGGAGGCAGCAGUGGGGAGUAUUGCACAGUGGGAGGGAGCCUGAUGCGACCACGCCGCGUGCGGGAUGACAGCCUUCGGGUAGUGAACCGCUUUCGCCUGUGACGAAGCGUGAGUGACGGUAAUGGGUAAAGAAGCACCGGCUAACUACGUG
rnacentral:rRNA from 1 species